rnacentral:lncRNA from 1 species
GGGCUAUAGCAUGUCAUAUUUUUCAGAUUUUAGUUGCACUAUUGCAGCAUUGUUCGUCUUGGCCAAUUUUGUUAGCGAGUAGUGAUAUGCACAAUGUACAUGAUAUAUUGUGACAGCCCAAAUCCGGGGUGAAGAUUUGGUGUCGCCAACAAAAGAAAUAAAAUAAAUAAUGAACUAAACUAACAACUUAGUAGAUAAUUCUGAUAAUAUUCAACUACACCCCUGAACAAGGAUCUUGCCAGGUUUAAGUCUGAGAUAGGUUCUAACAACUAUUACAACUUAUAACAACGUCACAUGAUCAUCUCUAGACGAGGUUACAGUUACAACCAUAAAAGUGAUAUAAUAUUACAACCCAAAAUAUGAAAUUCCUGACAGCUAGGCUAACUCCGGUCUGAGACUCUAAUAAGGCAGCUGAAAGGAUUCUCACUCAGUUGCUCUAGUUCUUGGCAUCUGAAAGGGGUUAGUGGUAGAAUAGCAAGUGUGAGCCAAAGAAUGAUCAGCAAGAUAAACAUAAUAAUGAGUAAUCAAUGGUUAAGCAGUUUUAUCAUAAAGUAAAACCUUAAAGCUGUAGAGAUAAAUGUAACAUACAUCAUCUGUUGAACAUAUGAAUUCCAUUUCAAAACUAUUUCAGUUUAAUUGGGCUUAAAGAAUAUGACACCUGGCUAUAACAGAUGAUCAAUCAUGCUAUAGUCCAUAAACCAAGCUUAUUCAGCUAGGUCGACAAAUAUUACGAAAUCCGGAAUCCGGGCUAAAGGAGCCACCUUUCACGCUGGGCCGGUGUCUAGCCUCUUACGCAAAACAACCCAAUGUAUUAAGUUAAAAAAAAACUACAGCUUUAACAUGAUUUGGGAAAUUCAAGAAUUCAAGUGGCUUUUCUUGAUAAAUAAAUUUACUUUGUAGCAAGUCCAAAUAGUUACUACUUUCAGUAAUUUGUAAAACUUUUAUAAACAUUUUAGUUUAACUUUUGGGUCAAAGAUAUUAGCAAUUCAACUGAAGGUAUUCAAGUAACAUGCUUCACAAGAAUAAUAUCAUGAUAAGAAUUAAUUAUGGUUUAAAAGUGAAGUCAAGGAAUCUAUAGUUUCUAGAAGAAAAGGGAUAGGAACACUUGCCUUGAAAAAAAAUGUAACUAGUGAUACGAAGGCUCUAGGCAGCUAAGACUUCUGAUUGGAGCCUACAGAGCAGAAGACUAGGUCUUAGCUUCCUGAACUUAUCAUCAUAUUCUCACAUAUUCUCACCGAUAUCUAAUUGCUACCCUUCGUUUAUACAACAUAGAAAUCAAAUAAACACAUAGCACAUAAUGGCACAAAAACCCUUUUUAUAGCCAAUGAAAAACAUAUAAUCUCUAAUAAAAAUUUGGCAGCAUCUCCUCUAUUUAUAGGCUUAUCCACCUGUUUUCAAUACCAACAACCAGCCAAUACUAUUGCUAACACAUGAAUUAGUAAUAUAGAAAGCUGCCUUGACUUGCAGUAAUAUACAAAAUACAUUUAAUAAGAUACACAAGGUCAAGCGAGCCAAUCAAUUAAACAAUCAAUUAUAUGUAACUAACCAAGUAUAACCUCAUACUAUGUACUAACAAAGGAAGAAAAUUAAAACAAAUAGUUCAAACAGCCCUCACUCUAUGAUUUUUUUUAAUAAAUCGAAAAUUUAUUGUUUUAAUACAAAAUUUUUAUGAGACACUCCUAAGCAUUGUUCCAACCUACCGUAAAAUUUUCAGAAAGAAAUUCCAAGUGUAAAGCAGUAAAACAGGCCUUCCACUCAGGCACCAGCAGUUUGUCCUAUAAAACCAGUCCGACGCUAGGAUUUUUAAUAAAUAGAAAAAUCGGUCUGUUUGUAUAAAAUUUUAAUGACACAUUACAGACCCCAACAUCUAACUCCAGUAAAAAUUUAAGAAGCAAAGCAACAGUAUAAGGUCGCAUAACAGGGCCCGGAACAGGAGACAUAAACCUGCCCAGAAUUUUCUGCACACCUCGCACUAAAACAUACAUAUCUUUUAGCUCGUUUAUUAAAUCAAUCUAAUUCUUUCGCGAGUAGAAACUAGGUUCCAAGAAGUAUCUUUCCACAAAAUUUCAUUACCCAAUAUCACUCCUAGGGCAGUUAAUUAUUGACGCAAAACAGAGGUAUUACAGAAAGUAUUUUGACAACAAACUAUCGAUCAUUAGACAUUACAAUUACCAAUCCAUACUAACAUCAAAUCCCAACAAUUCAUUCAACCCGUCUUCAAUUGACACCUAUACACAUACAUGUAAACAUAUAACUUGAAUUAUGCAAAUACUACUCAAUCAAUUCUUAAUCACAACUCACAUGUAUAUACUCAUUUAAACUAAAAUGAAAUUAGCUACUUAAUAAAUCAAGAAUCAAUUCAAUCCAUAUAAGCACAACACCGCACAUAUAUAUACAUAUUUAUAUAGACUGAAUUGAAUAAGAGAAAUUAAGCUUAUACCCCCUGACUUACAACUAGUGGAGGCCUAGGAUGUCGCCGGAAAAAGAAGAAACAGGCGGCGAUGUGGAUUGGCCGGGAAAAUCAAUGACCAGUACUUGGGAGUAUAUCUCGAUGGGGAAGGAAAAAGAGUAGAGACGUGACUUGGAUGGUUGAAGAAAAGAAGAAGAAAAAAAANGGCGGUGGGUAGAGUAGGGAUACGUGGCUCUGCAUAGGUAUUCCACGUAUCUCAACACACUGACUAGCCUCGAUAUAAUACCCGAAAUUAGACCGACUCUCGAAAUAUCUCGCAAUAAAACUUUCUCGAAAAAUCACUAAACUAAUUUUAUAAAUCUCCGAAUAUUAUAAAACUAAUGAAAUAAAACUUUCG